GACGAACGCUGGCGGCGUGCUUAACACAUGCAAGUCGAACGGAAAGGCCCUGCUUUUGUGGGGUGCUCGAGUGGCGAACGGGUGAGUAACACGUGAGUAACCUGCCCUUGACUUUGGGAUAACUUCAGGAAACUGGGGCUAAUACCGGAUAGGAGCUCCUGCUGCAUGGUGGGGGUUGGAAAGUUUCGGCGGUUGGGGAUGGACUCGCGGCUUAUCAGCUUGUUGGUGGGGUAGUGGCUUACCAAGGCUUUGACGGGUAGCCGGCCUGAGAGGGUGACCGGCCACAUUGGGACUGAGAUACGGCCCAUACUCCUACGGGAGGCAGCAGUGGGGAAUAUUGCACAAUGGGCGGAAGCCUGAUGCAGCAACGCCGCGUGCGAGAUGACGGCCUUCGGGUUGUAAACCGCUUUCGCCUGUGACGAAGCGUGAGUGACGGUAAUGGGUAAAGAAGCACCGGCUAACUACGUGCCAUCAGCCGCGGUGAUACGUACGGUGCGAGCGUUGUCCGGAUUUAUUGGGCGUAAAGGGCUCGUAGGUGGUUGAUCGCGUCGGAAGUGUAAUCUUGGGGCUUAACCCUGAGCGUGCUUUCGAUACGGGUUGACUUGAGGAAAGGUAGGGGAGAAUGGAAUUCCUGGUGGAGCGGUGGAAUGCGCAGAUAUCAGGAGGAACACCAGUGGCGAAGGCGGUUCUCUGGGCCUUUCCUGACGCUGAGGAGCGAAAGCGUGGGGAGCGAACAGGCUUAGAUACCCUGGUAGUCCACGCUGUAAACGGUGGGUACUAGGUGUGGGGUCCAUUCCACGGGUUCCGUGCCGUAGCUAACGCUUUAAGUACCCCGCCUGGGGAGUACGGCCGCAAGGCUAAAACUCAAAGGAAUUGACGGGGCCCCGCACAAGCGGCGGAGCAUGCGGAUUAAUUCGAUGCAACGCGUAGAACCUUACCUGGGUUUGACAUGGAUCGGGAGUGCUCAGAGAUGGGUGUGCCUCUUUUGGGGUCGGUUCACAGGUGGUGCAUGGCUGUCGUCAGCUCGUGUCGUGAGAUGUUGGGUUAAGUCCCGCAACGAGCGCAACCCUUGUUCACUGUUGCCAGCACGUUAUGGUGGGGACUCAGUGGAGACCGCCGGGGUCAACUCGGAGGAAGGUGGGGAUGACGUCAAGUCAUCAUGCCCCUUAUGUCCAGGGCUUCACGCAUGCUACAAUGGCUGGUACAGAGAGUGGCGAGCCUGUGAGGGUGAGCGAAUCUCGGAAAGCCGGUCUCAGUUCGGAUUGGGGUCUGCAACUCGACCUCAUGAAGUCGGAGUCGCUAGUAAUCGCAGAUCAGCAACGCUGCGGUGAAUACGUUCCCGGGGCU
rnacentral:rRNA from 1 species